AUAACUACCUGGCCAAGGAGCUACCGAUGAUCCUAAAAGCGGUUCACCCCAGGCGAGCUCAGCCAUCGCCCACUCUGGCUGUGCUGACCACUUCGCAAUUCCCAAAAUGCGAUCAAUCUGGAUUGGCAUAAUUUAUGGGUAGGGGGACUCCAUUCCUCU